UACGUAGGGUGCAAGCGUUAAUCGGAAUUACUGGGCGUAAAGCGUGCGCAGGCGGUCUUGCAAGACAGGUGUGAAAUCCCCGGGCUUAACCUGGGAACUGCGACUUGUGACUGCAAGGCUGGAGUACGGCAGAGGGGGAUGGAAUUCCGCGGUGUAGCAGUGAAAUGCGUAGAUAUGCGGAGGAACACCGAUGGCGAAGGCAGGUCUCUGGGCAUUAACUGACGCUGAGGAGCGAAAGCAUGGGGAGCAAACAG
rnacentral:rRNA from 1 species